UUCAAAUACAACAACAACAACAACAACAAACCCAGUGUAUUCCCACUUAGUGGGGUCUGGGGGGUAAGAUGUACGCAGUCCAUACCUCUACCUCUGAUGAAGUAGAAAGGCUGUUUCCGAAAGACCCCCGGCUCAAGUCACGAGAUAUCACACAAACACAUAGUACAGCACAGAAGCAGAUGACGUAACAUAGAUACGGCACCCAUAAGGAAUAUAAAACAGAGUAAAGCAGGAAUGCAGGAAUAUAAAGCAGAGGAAAGCACACAUAUUCGUAAUAAACAUGGAACACGGAACACGGAACAUUGAAUACGGAAUCAUAACAGGAAUACACCCCCACCAAUUUAUCCCUACACUAGCGACCCGAACUGGCCCUAAUCCUCUGCCGUAAUUCGCAUCUUCCAGACCUUCCUAUCUAGGGUCAUGUCCUCGGUGAGCUGUAACUGUUCCAUGUCCCGCCUAAUCACUUCACCCCUAAUAAUUAACAACUUAAAAUAAUUGGUUACAUAAAUUGGGGCAGAAGAAAAAGUCUAUAAAUCACAAUAACUAAUAAUUAAAAGUACAACAACAACAAACCCAGUGUAUUCCCACUUAGUGGGGUCUGUGGGGUAAGAUGUACGCAGUCCAUACCUCUACCUCUGAUGAAGUAGAAAGGCUGUUUCCGAAAGACCCCCGGCUCAAGGCACAAGAUAUCACACAAACACAUAGUAAAGCACAGAAGCAGAUGACAAUAAUAUCAAUACGGCACCCAUACGGAAUAUAAAACAGAGGAAAGCAGAGGAAAGCAGAGGAAAGCACACAGAUUCGUAACAAACAUAGAACACGGAACACGGAACAGAACAUUGAAUACGGAAUCAUACCAGGAAUACACCCCCACCAAUUACCUCCCUACAUUAGCGACCCGAACAGGCCCUAAUCCUCUGCCGUAAUUCGCGUCUUCCAGACCUUCCUAUCUAGGGUCAUGUCCUCGGUGAGCUGUAACUGUUCCAUGUCCCGCCUAAUCACCUCACCCCAGUACUUCUUCGGUCUACCCCUACCCCGUCUAAAACCCUCCAACGCUAGCCUCUCACACCUACGGACCGGGGCAUCCAUGCCCCUCCUCUUCACGUGUCCGAACCAUCUCAAUCGUGCUUCCCGCAUCUUACACUCCACUGAAGUCACACCAACCUUCUCCCGGAUAGUCUCAUUCCGAACUCUAUCCCCUCGGGUCAGUCCACACAUCCAGCGCAACAUCCGCAUUUCUGCCACCUUCAUUCUUUGGAUGUGGGAGUUCUUAACUGGCCAACACUCCGCUCCAUACAGCAAGGCCGGACGGACUACCACCCUAUAGAAUUUGCCUUUAAGCUUGGGCGGCACCUUCUUA
rnacentral:lncRNA from 1 species